AGCGAACGCUGGCGGCAGGCUUAACACAUGCAAGUCGAGCGGGCGUAGCAAUACGUCAGCGGCAGACGGGUGAGUAACGCGUGGGAACGUACCUUUUGGUUCGGAACAACACAGGGAAACUUGUGCUAAUACCGGAUAAGCCCUUACGGGGAAAGAUUUAUCGCCGAAAGAUCGGCCCGCGUCUGAUUAGCUAGUUGGUGAGGUAAUGGCUCACCAAGGCGACGAUCAGUAGCUGGUCUGAGAGGAUGAUCAGCCACAUUGGGACUGAGACACGGCCCAAACUCCUACGGGAGGCAGCAGUGGGGAAUAUUGGACAAUGGGCGCAAGCCUGAUCCAGCCAUGCCGCGUGAGUGAUGAAGGCCCUAGGGUUGUAAAGCUCUUUUGUGCGGGAAGAUAAUGACGGUACCGCAAGAAUAAGCCCCGGCUAACUUCGUGCCAGCCGCCGCGGUAACAC
rnacentral:rRNA from 1 species